CGAAGCUCCAAGUCCAAUUCCCCCACUUCCUGACCGGAGCUGGCUGCAGGCGCAGAGCCAACAAUGGGGAGUGCCACUUCGAAGAUCGAUUCCUCCUCUUCUUCUGAUCCCGAUGCUGAAGAAUCGCGUAUGGCUCGAUUCAAGAAUCGUGUACAUCUUCGUCGCUUUCUUCGUAGGCGUCGUAAAGCCACCAAUGGCCGAGG
rnacentral:misc_RNA from 1 species